CUCGCAUAAUCUAGGUCUUGCUCUGGAGAAAUCAAAUUAGAGAAUAGAGAAUUUAGAGAGAGAGAGAGAGAGAGAGAGAGAGAGAGAGAGCGAUUCUAAUGGCGAGAGAGAGAGAGAGAGAGCGAUUACAAUUGGUGCGCGGGGAUUCUAAAGCAGGGCGACGAGAGAGAGAGAGAGAGCAAAGCGAGUCGAGUGAGAGAGGGUUCGUGUUCCAAUUCCAACCAGGAGAAGGAUGACUCUCAGAUCGAUUUUGGUUUCAAGGAAGUGGACGAUUCAGAAACCCUAAAAAACGGAAGGAGGGCGAUUGAUUUUAUCUCACUCUGUUUUUGGCGUGUUCUUACAAUUUUAGUGUAGGUGUGUGUGUGUGUGUGUUCGUGUCCCCCAGCCAGAAGGAUGAAGUUUAUUCUGAGAACAAACACUGUCUCUCGCCGGCGACAGUGUUCUUUUACAGUAAGUAACUACUACAUCAAACUCUGCAGGUCGAUUAUAUAAACAAGCAAGAUGGGAGAAAUAUGCUCUUUGAUUUGAAGAAUGAUGAAGAAGGGAUUCUGAACAUCAUCAAACUGUUCCUUCCUUCUUGUUACAGAGGUGGUCUUUCUUGACUCAAUACGUCUCUUAAUAUUCCACUUCAGUCCACUUCAGUCUUCCCAAUCCUUACUUCAGUCAUCAAUUUAGAUGAUGGUGGAGAUGUAUACAUAUGCAUGUCUAAUUUUAGGGAUGACCGCCGCCCCAACCACAACAACAAUCCUCUAAGGUUCUCCAAUCCAGUCCAGACACUUGGGUGAUGAUGGCAAUUUUCUCUAUUAUACUGUAUGUUCCUUCACUCUCAUUCUCACCUAGAAGCUACCAGUCCAUAUCCCACGUUCUUCUUGUAUCCGCAAGUUUAAUGACACUAUACAGGCCAAUUCAUAACACAAGUAGCCAAGUGAAGAGCCGAGUUGAGUAGCCAUACGUGAGAGCUAUGGACUAUUUUGGGUCAGAGUUUUGGUGGCUUCUUUGCACUUACAUACUUGAGCUUUUCCCCGGAAAGACUCAAUCGACUUUGCAAAGUCACUAACCAUGCCUUGAAGCCUUUCAAAGCUGCCAAUGAUAACUAACAAGGCUUUUCUUUUCUUAUGGUGUGGAUCCGACAAUGUACUCUUUUUUCACUUGUCUUUUCCUUUCUGGUUGGUGCAUGUUGUUCAUGUAAGAUACACAAGGAGCCGAUGAUCCAUCCAUUUAGACAUCGAUCAAAGUAGCUUAUUGCUGGAGAUGUAUCCCGACCUGCUGCCAUCGAUUUUACACCAGAAGUAUUCAUUUGUAUCAUCUUAUGUAACUUGCAAGACUCUUGUUAAGCUCUUGUCAUUCCUUUAAUUUUUCCAGAGCAGACAAAGCUAUGCUGUCUUCCUAUGGCUUUCACAUUUCUUAAUCUUCAUCAAUCUAGAUGAUGGUUGAGAUGUAUACAUAUGCAUGUCUAAUUUUAGGGAUGACCACCGCCCCAACCACAACAACAAUCCUCUGAUCCAUGCAUUGUUGAUUAAUAAUUUUCGGUGUAAGUUCGUGUCUUUGCAAGUGAUGGAUGUUCUGAGGAGGAGGACGUUGCUUUCAUGGCGUUUCUUCUUCAAAUCUCAUCUGUUUUGACGCGCGAGAACCGAAAAAAAAAGAAGCUCUCUACAAAACCAACUCAUCCAUCACCAGAUAGGAGAAGAAGCUCAAUCCGAUGUAAAGACUUCAUUGCUGUUUUCGAACAACUGAUUGAGAUGGCGCUGAAUUAUGAUCCAUACGAUGUAAUACCCCUCUUCUUGCUCUUAGUUCCCCAACCAUAAUUGAUACAUAGAUGAGCUACUUAUUGUUUCAGAAUCUUGAAGCUCUUCACUUCAUAGCUCCAGCUUUUGCCUGCACCCCAAAGAAGUACACCACAUCUGCCAUAAUUUUGAGAUCUUGUCACCUUCUCUUCUCUUCUCUACUCUCAGGAUCCAAACAUUAUUGAUGAAUACUGUUUGGUGGAUGUUCGUGUCUUUUCAAGUAAUGGAUGUUCAGUGGACGUUGUUUUGAUGGCGUUUCUUCUUCAACUCUCGUCAGAUUUGACUAGAAAGUCCACAACGAAAAAAGCUCUCUACAAAAACAACUCAUCACCGGAGUGGAGAAGAAGUUCAAUCAUCGACUCCAUUUCUGUUUUCGAACAAGUCAG